rnacentral:rRNA from 1 species
ACGGGGUGCAGCAGGCGCGAAAACUCCGCAAUGCGCGCAAGCGUGACGGGGGAAUCCCAAGUGCCGUUGGUCUUAUGAUCGACGGUUUUUAGGAAGUCUAAGAAGCUUCCAGAAUAAGGGCUGGGCAAGACUGGUGCCAGCCGCCGCGGUAACACCAGCAGCCCAAGUGGUGACCACGAUUAUUGGGCCUAAAGCGCUCGUAGCCGGAUCAGCAAGUCCCUUGUGAAAUCGGGCCGCCUAACGGUUCGGCGUGCAAGGGAUACUGUUGGUCUUGAGGCCGGGAGAGGUCGGAGGUACUCCUGGGGUAGCGGUGAAAUGCUCUAAUCCUAGGGGGACCACCAGUGGCGAAGGCGUCCGACCAGAACGGACCUGACGGUGAGGGGCGAAGGCUAGGGGAGCGAACGGGAUUAGAUACCCCGGUAGUCCUAGCUGUAAAGCAUGCGGGCCAGGUGUCUAGCGCUCCUUGAGGGCGCUAGGUGCCGGAGGGAAGCCGUUAAGCCCGCCGCCUGGGAAGUACGGCCGCAAGGCUGAAACUUAAAGAAAUUGGCGGGGGAGCACCACAAGAGGUGGGACCUGCGGUUCAAUUGGAUUCAACGCCGGAAAACUCACCAGGGGCGACAGCUGGUUGACGGCCAGAUUGACGAUCUUGCCCGACUAGCUGAGAGGUGGUGCAUGGCCAUCGUCAGCUCGUACCGUGAGGCGUCCUGUUAAGUCAGGCAACGAGCGAGAUCCUCGCCCUUAGUUGCCAUCGGUGGAA